rnacentral:rRNA from 1 species
AAUAGAUACCCCGGUAGUCCACGCCGUAAACGAUGAGUGCUAAGUGUUGGGGGGUUUCCGCCCCUCAGUGCUGCAGCUAACGCAUUAAGCACUCCGCCUGGGGAGUACGGGUCGCAAGACUGAAACUCAAAGGAAUUGACGGGGGCCCGCACAAGCGGUGGAGCAUGUGGUUUAAUUCGAAGCAACGCGAAGAACCUUACCAGGUCUUGACAUCCCGGUGACCACUAUGGAGACAUAGUUUCCCCUUCGGGGGGCAACGGUGACAGGUGGUGCAUGGUUGUCGUCAGCUCGUGUCGUGAGAUGUUGGGUUAAGUCCCGCAACGAGCGCAACCCUUAUUCUUAGUUGCCAUCAUUCAGUUGGGCACUCUAAGGAGACUGCCGGUGAUAAACCGGAGGAAGGUGGGGAUGACGUCGAAAUCAUCAUGCCCCUUAUGACCUGGGCUACACACGUGCUACAAUGGACGGUACAAACGGUUGCCAACCCGCGAGGGGAGCUAAUCCGAUAAAACCGUUCUCAGUUCGGAUUGUAGGCUGCAACUCGCCUACA